rnacentral:rRNA from 1 species
GGUUAAGCGACUAAGCGUACACGGUGGAUGCCCUGGCAGUCAGAGGCGAUGAAGGGCGUGCUAAUCUGCGAUAAGCGCCGGUAAGGUGAUAUGAACCGUUAUAACCGGCGAUACCCGAAUGGGGAAACCCAGUGUGACUCGUCACACUAUCAUUAACUGAAUCCAUAGGUUAAUGAGGCGAACCGGGGGAACUGAAACAUCUAAGUACCCCGAGGAAAAGAAAUCAACCGAGAUUCCCCCAGUAGCGGCGAGCGAACGGGGAGGAGCCCAGAGCCUGAAUCAGCAUGUGUGUUAGUGGAAGCGUCUGGAAAGGCGCGCGAUACAGGGUGACAGCCCCGUACACAAAAGCGCAUGUGCUGUGAGCUCGAUGAGUAGGGCGGGACACGUGGUAUCCUGUCUGAAUAUGGGGGGACCAUCCUCCAAGGCUAAAUACUCCUGACUGACCGAUAGUGAACCAGUACCGUGAGGGAAAGGCGAAAAGAACCCCGGCGAGGGGAGUGAAAAAGAACCUGAAACCGUGUACGUACAAGCAGUGGGAGCCCCACCACCAAAGCAUUUGCUGUACCGCGUUGACGGAGCGAAGCGACGUCAAAC